rnacentral:tRNA from 1 species
CUUCCUAUAGCUCAAUUGGUAGAGCUUCUGAUUUUUAAUCAGAAGGUUCUAGGUUCGAGUCCUAGUAGGGAGA